AAUCCAGUAAUGGAUAAGGCACUGGCCUCCAAAGCCAGGGAUUAUGGGUUUGAGUCCCAUCUGGGGUG
rnacentral:tRNA from 1 species